AUACGGAGGAUCCGAGCGUUAUCCGGAUUUAUUGGGUUUAAAGGGUGCGCAGGCGGCCAUUUAAGUCAGCGGUUAAAUCGUGGGGCUCAACCCCAUUCUGCCGUUGAUACUGGGUGGCUUGAUUGCGGUCGAGGUUGGCGGAAUUCGUUGUGUAGCGGUGAAACGCAUAGAUAUGACGAAGAACACCGAUUGCGUAGGCAGCUGACCAGACCGCAAAUGACGCUCAUGCACGAAAGUGCGGGUAUCGAACAGGAUUAGAUACCCUGGUAGUCCGCACAGUAAACGAUGAAUACUUGUUUUCGGCGAUAUAAUGUCGGAGGCAAAGCGAAAGCGAUAAGUAUUCCACCUGGGGAGUACGCCGGCAACGGUGAAACUCAAAUGAAUUGACGGGG
rnacentral:rRNA from 1 species